GUGAAUGAAUUUUCGUUCUUUGGUGUGCUAAUGUCUUUUCACAUUUUGGCAGAUCCAGGAAUUUUCCUUGCAGGGGUCAACAUUUAAAAGUUUGCCCUCACGACCUCCAGCCAGAAGCAGCAGCUGUUGCUUUCCACCACCACCACCAAAUGAGACACUCUUCUUCCAUCUCAUCCCUCCUCUCCAUCUCCCUGCCUCGAAAACCCAGCACUUAUAGCCCCACCCAGCUGCACACAGGUUACCCCUUUGGGGCAUUUCGUCGAACACUUUGCGAGGGUCAAGUUUGCUGCUCUAAUGGAGGAUUUCAGAGGUUGCAGGGGUCAAUUGACCGCCCUUGCUCCUCUGUGGAUCCGCCCUCCACAAAUGAAUUUUCGUAAUUUAGUGUUCCUUAAUAUAUUAUCAACUCACCGAACCCAAAAAUGCAAAAAUUCAUAAGCAGAUUUUCGGGGUUAUGUGAAUGGAUUAUCCUCUUUGUAAGGUUUUUA